AUGUAUGUUGUAACCAUGAUACGUUUCCCUUCCAAAUUCCUUUUCUCUACUAUACACUUUUCAAAAGAUUUAAGAACGGAGAGCAGGAGAACAAGAACAAGGUACUCCCCCACCCACUGGGGCAUGAGCACAUGGCCAGGGUUGUGCCGGUCAAAGAUGGAAGCCAGGGUCUGCAUCAGGAGGAAGCUGGAGUUGGGAGCCAGAGCUGGGCAGGCAACCAAGUCACUCUGCCAUGGGACACAGGCCUUAAACGCUAGGCCAAACACCAAACCACAAACCUUUUUUAAAAAAACCAAAACAACAAAACAGAUUAUUCCCCAAGUUUCCAGAAGUAUUCAUAACAAGCAACAUUCUAUUUAUAUCCAUUUUAUUUAUAUUUUCUUCCAAAAAGGAAAUGAGGCCAGCAAGCUGGCCUGGGAGAGGAGCAACCGGGACAGAAUCCGGCACCCCUAUGACAGGCAGAGGCGAUAGUGAGAGAGAGAGAGAGACAGAGAGAAAGGUCUUCCUUUGCCGUUGGUUCACCCUCCAAUGGCCGCUGCGGCCGGCGCACCUUGCUGAUCCGAUGGCAGGAGCCAGGUACUUCUCCUGGUCUCCCAUGGGGUGCAGGGCCCAAGCACUUGGGCCAUCCUCCACUGCACUCCCUGGCCACAGCAGAGAGCUGGCCUGGAAGAGGGGCAACCAGGACAAAAUCUGGCGCCCCGACCGGGACUAGAACCCGGUGUGCCGGCACCGCAAGGCGGAGGAUUAGCCUAGUGAGCCGCGGCGCCGGCCUCUCUCUUACUCUCAUAUUGUUCUUCAAAUAAAUCUUAAAAAACAGAGAAGCCA
rnacentral:lncRNA from 1 species